rnacentral:rRNA from 1 species
GUCUGCAAUUUUUUUUCCACCCUGAUCUCGGAAGCUAAGCAGGAUUGGGCCUGCUUAGUACUUGGAUGGGAGACCACCUAGGAAGACCAGGUGCUGUAGGCG